GAUGAACGCUGGCGGCGUGCCUAAUACAUGCAAGUCGAGCGAACGGACGAGAAGCUUGCUUCUCUGAUGUUAGCGGCGGACGGGUGAGUAACACGUGGAUAACCUACCUAUAAGACUGGGAUAACUUCGGGAAACCGGAGCUAAUACCGGAUAAUAUUUUGAACCGCAUGGUUCAAAAGUGAAAGACGGUCUUGCUGUCACUUAUAGAUGGAUCCGCGCUGCAUUAGCUAGUUGGUAAGGUAACGGCUUACCAAGGCAACGAUGCAUAGCCGACCUGAGAGGGUGAUCGGCCACACUGGAACUGAGACACGGUCCAGACUCCUACGGGAGGCAGCAGUAGGGAAUCUUCCGCAAUGGGCGAAAGCCUGACGGAGCAACGCCGCGUGAGUGGUGAAGGUCUUCGGAUCGUAAAACUCUGUUAUUAGGGAAGAACAUAUGUGUAAGUAACUGUGCACAUCUUGACGGUACCUAAUCAGAAAGCCACGGCUAACUACGUGCCAGCAGCCGCGGUAAUACGUAGGUGGCAAGCGUUAUCCGGAAUUAUUGGGCGUAAAGCGCGCGUAGGCGGUUUUUUAAGUCUGAUGUGAAAGCCCACGGCUCAACCGUGGAGGGUCAUUGGAAACUGGAAAACUUGAGUGCAGAAGAGGAAAGUGGAAUUCCAUGUGUAGCGGUGAAAUGCGCAGAGAUAUGGAGGAACACCAGUGGCGAAGGCGACUUUCUGGUCUGUAACUGACGCUGAUGUGCGAAAGCGUGGGGAUCAAACAGGAUUAGAUACCCUGGUAGUCCACGCCGUAAACGAUGAGUGCUAAGUGUUAGGGGGUUUCCGCCCCUUAGUGCUGCAGCUAACGCAUUAAGCACUCCGCCUGGGGAGUACGACCGCAAGGUUGAAACUCAAAGGAAUUGACGGGGACCCGCACAAGCGGUGGAGCAUGUGGUUUAAUUCGAAGCAACGCGAAGAACCUUACCAAAUCUUGACAUCCUUUAACAACUCUAGAGAUAGAGCCUUCCCCUUCGGGGGACAAAGUGACAGGUGGUGCAUGGUUGUCGUCAGCUCGUGUCGUGAGAUGUUGGGUUAAGUCCCGCAACGAGCGCAACCCUUAAGCUUAGUUGCCAUCAUUAAGUUGGGCACUCUAAGUUGACUGCCGGUGACAAACCGGAGGAAGGUGGGGAUGACGUCAAAUCAUCAUGCCCCUUAUGAUUUGGGCUACACACGUGCUACAAUGGACAAUACAAAGGGCAGCGAAACCGCGAGGUCAAGCAAAUCCCAUAAAGUUGUUCUCAGUUCGGAUUGUAGUCUGCAACUCGACUACAUGAAGCUGGAAUCGCUAGUAAUCGUAGAUCAGCAUGCUACGGUGAAUACGUUCCCGGGUCU
rnacentral:rRNA from 1 species